GAUGAAGAACGUAGCAAAAUGCGAUAAGUAAUGUGAAUUGCAGAAUUCAGUGAAUCAUCGAAUCUUUGAACGCACAUUGCGCCCGCUGGUAGUCCGGCGGGCAUGCCUGUUCGAGCGUCAUUUCAACCCUCAAGCCCCCGGGUUUGGUGUUGGGGAUCGGCUCUGCCCUUCUGGGCGGUGCCGCCCCCGAAAUACAUUGGCGGUCUCGCUGCAGCCUCCAUUGCGUAGUAGCUAACACCUCGCAACUGGAACGCGGCGCGGCCAUGCCGUAAAACCCCAACUUCUGAAUGUUGACCUCGGAUCAGGUAGGAAUACCCGCUGAACUUAAGCAUAUCAAUAAGCGAGGA
rnacentral:misc_RNA from 1 species